GACGAACGCUGGCGGCGUGCUUAACACAUGCAAGUCGAACGGUAAGGCCCUGCUUUUGUGGGGUGCUCGAGUGGCGAACGGGUGAGUAACACGUGAGUAACCUGCCCUUUACUUUGGGAUAACUUCAGGAAACUGGUGCUAAUACCGGAUAGUAGCUCCUGCUGCAUGGUGGGGGGUGGAAAGGUUCGGCGGUUGGGGAUGGACUCGCGGCUUCUGAGCUUGUUGGUGGGGUAGUGGCUUACCAAGGCUUUGACGGGUAGCCGGCCUGAGAGGGUGACCGGCGACAUUGGGACUGGGAUACGGCGCAGACUCGUACGGGAGGAAGCAGUGGGGAAUAUGGAACAAUGGGCGGAAGCCGGAGGCAGAAACGCCGAGGGCGGGAGGACGGCCUUCGGGUUGUAAACCGCUUACGCCUGUGACGAAGCGGGAGUGACGGUAGUGGGUAAAGAAGCACCGGCUAACUACGUG
rnacentral:rRNA from 1 species